rnacentral:rRNA from 1 species
GAAACUAAACAGGAUUCCCUUAGUAAUGGCGAAUGAACAGGGAUGAGCUCAGCAUGGAAAUCGGGGUCUCCCGACCUUGAAUUGUAGUCUGUAGAUGUACUGCCAACGGAGGCGCAGAUGUAAGCCUCUUGGAAAAGAGCAUCAACGAGGGUGAGAGUCCCGUUUGUCAUCUGCAGUCCCCCGUGCACGGUGUGCCUUCUAAGAGUCACGUUCCUCGGGAUUGGAGCGCAAAGUGGGUGGUAAAUUUCAUCUAAAGCUAAAUAUUGGUUCGAGACCGAUAGCAAACAAGUACCAUGAGGGAAAGGUGAAAAGGACUUUGAAAAGAGAGUUAAAAGUGCCUGAAAUUGCUGAAAGGGAAGCGAAUGGAACCAGUGUUCUUGAUGAGAUUGUUGCGUACUCUGGUGAUUGCUGGGUGUUCCACCGCAAGGGGGGCAUCUAGUUUUGAGCUAGAUGUGCGUGGUGUUUCUUGUCUUGUGUGUCACCGUCGGUGCACGAGCGAGUAAACCUCCAGGGGGCUGGUAACUCGACCACGGUUGAGUGAAUACCUUUGGCAGUACUCAUUUGUGUAUCGAUCCCUGCGUGUCUGGUUGCAGUGUUUGGGUCGCCUGGAAACUCCUGAAGGGCUUGUCCUCGAAGGAGUCCUUUUGGGCGCCCUGAGCAUCUCCCUGACACAAAGACGA